rnacentral:rRNA from 1 species
CCUACGGGAGGCAGCAGUGAGGAAUAUUGGUCAAUGGCCGUAAGGCUGAACCAGCCAAGUCGCGUGAAGGAAGAAGGAUCUAUGGUUUGUAAACUUCUUUUAUAGGGGAAUAAAGGUAUCCACGUGUGGAUCUUUGCAUGUACCCUAUGAAUAAGCAUCGGCUAACUCCGUGCCAGCAGCCGCGGUAAUACGGAGGAUGCGAGCGUUAUCCGGAUUUAUUGGGUUUAAAGGGUGCGUAGGCGGAACAUUAAGUCAGCGGUAAAAUCGAGGGGCUCAACCCCUUUAAGCCGUUGAAACUGGUGAUGUUGAGUGGGCGAGAGGUAGGCGGAAUGCGUGGUGUAGCGGUGAAAUGCAUAGAUAGCACGCAGAACUCCGAUGGCGAAGGCAGCAUACCGGAGCCCGACUGACGCUGAGGCACGAAAGUGUGGGGAUCGAACAGGAUUAGAUACCCUGGUAGUC